GACGAACGCUGGCGGCGUGGAUUAGGCAUGCAAGUCGAACGGUAUCAUCCUUUCGGGGGUGAGAGAGUGGCGAACUGGUGAGUAACACGUAGGUUAUCUACCCUCAAGACGGGGACAACCCAGGGAAACUUGGGCUAAUACCGGAUGUGAGCAACUUUUAGUUGUUUGAAAGGUGGCGUAAGCUGUCGCUUGGGGAUGAGCCUGCGUCCUAUUAGUUAGUUGGUGAGGUAACGGCUCACCUAGGCAAUGAUAGGUAGGCGGCCUUAACGGGUGGUCGCCCACACUGGGAUUGAGAUACGGCCCAGACUCCUACGGGAGGCAGCAGUCGAGAAUAGUCUACAAUGGUCGGAAGACUGAUAGUGCGACGCCGCGUGAACGAUGAAUCCCUUCGGGGUGUAAAGUUCUUUUAUAUGUGAGCAGUGCUUCUUAUAUUAACAGUAUGGGGAGAGAGAUAUUAGCAUAUGAAUAAGCAACGGCUAACUCCGUGGCAGCAGCCGCGGU
rnacentral:rRNA from 1 species